ACGCUGGCGGCAUGCCUUACACAUGCAAGUCGAACGGUAACAGGUCUUCGGAUGCUGACGAGUGGCGAACGGGUGAGUAAUACAUCGGAACGUGCCCAGUAAUGGGGGAUAGCUCGGCGAAAGCCGGAUUAAUACCGCAUACGCCCUGAGGGGGAAAGUGGGGGACCGCAAGGCCUCACGUUAUUGGAGCGGCCGAUGGCUGAUUAGCUAGUUGGUAGGGUAAAGGCCUACCAAGGCGACGAUCAGUAGCUGGUCUGAGAGGACGAUCAGCCACACUGGGACUGAGACACGGCCCAGACUCCUACGGGAGGCAGCAGUGGGGAAUUUUGGACAAUGGGGGAAACCCUGAUCCAGCAAUGCCGCGUGUGCGAAGAAGGCCUUCGGGUUGUAAAGCACUUUUGUCAGGGAAGAAAUCCUUUGGGCUAAUACCCUAGGGGGAUGACGGUACCUGAAGAAUAAGCACCGGCUAACUACGUGCCAGCAGCCGCGGUAAUACGUAGGGUGCAAGCGUUAAUCGGAAUUACUGGGCGUAAAGCGUGCGCAGGCGGUUGUGUAAGACAGGUGUGAAAUCCCCGGGCUUAACCUGGGAAUUGCAUUUGUGACUGCACGACUAGAGUGUGUCAGAGGGGGGUGGAAUUCCACGUGUAGCAGUGAAAUGCGUAGAUAUGUGGAGGAACACCAAUGGCGAAGGCAGCCCCCUGGGAUAACACUGACGCUCAUGCACGAAAGCGUGGGGAGCAAACAGGAUUA
rnacentral:rRNA from 1 species